UACGUAGGGAGCAAGCGUUGUCCGGAAUCAUUGGGCGUAAAGAGCGUGUAGGCGGCCCCGAUAAGUCCGCUGUGAAAGUCCAGGGCUCAACCCUGGAAUGCCAGUGGAAACUGUCGGGCUAGAGUCCGGAAGAGGCGAGUGGAAUUCCUGGUGUAGCGGUGAAAUGCGCAGAUAUCAGGAGGAACACCGGUGGCGAAGGCGGAUCUCUGGGCCAUUACUGACGCUGAGGAGCGAAAGCGUGGGGAGCGAACAGG
rnacentral:rRNA from 1 species